CGGUCUGGUGAAUUUUGAGAAGUUAAGGAUGAUUGCGAGAGAGAUCAGACACGUGGUUGAAUGGCUUCCAUCACCAUGGACCCUGCAUUGCUUUUUAAGACAAGGAAGAAAAAGUGGAGAAGUCUUGGGUCUCUAAGUCAGGUGAGCAGCUCUUCUCUCUCUGACAUUGGAACAAUGGGUGGAAAAAGAAAAGGGAGGCGGAGCUCUUUUCUCAGUGCUAAGAAACUUUAUGAGGUGGAGAUGAUGAGCAGG